CUGAUAGCCCUGGUAACUGAAGGCUUCUAUAAAUAGAACUGCUACACUGCUGGCAGUGGUAGUGCACAUUUCCCACACUGCUCAGCCAACAUGGCUCAAUCCUGACUUGGAGCCAGACAGGAGUUCAGUCUCCAUGCCUGUUCAGUCCCUAUGCCUGU
rnacentral:sRNA from 1 species